AUCUGCCGUCAUUCCACUACGGAUCGUCCGGCACGUACCUGCCGGUGGAGGAAAUCAU
rfam:Leucobacter komagatae strain VKM ST2845 L_komagatae_15, whole genome shotgun sequence.